GCUUCGGGGCGGGCGCGCGGGCGGGCACGUGGGACUCCUUCGUCCCCGGCGUCUGGGCGCAGGGCGCCAGCCGCCACCCCGGCCUGGGCCUCGGCCCUGUGGCCGAUGAAUUCCCUUAGGCACAGGGAGAUGAAGUGAUUAAUUCAAGGUCACAGUGUCAAGGAUGGAAUCCAGACCUCCUUUUUUCCUUAUGGGCCACAGGUACCUUUGGUGACCCUGAGAUCUGGCAAAAAGGGCGCUGGACUAUUCUUCACUCCUCCUUCAGACACCACCCAUUUUACAGAUGAAGCCACUGAGAUAAUGGAGCAACUGACUAAAUAGUCACCACCCUACCUCUGGAGCCUCACAUAUGACUCUUCUCUUCCCACUUGAGUGACUGCAGAUGGAGAAACAAAGCUUAGAGAGAGAACUCUUUCUUAACCAUUACAUUACACCACCUUCAUGGGUUGAGGGGAAGAGACUGGAGAAGAAUUGCAGUUUGUCCAACCUGAGGUGAUCCCAAUCUCUCUGAUGGCUUCAGUUUCCAUCUACACAUGGAUGAUGCCCAAAUCUCUCUCCAACUACUUUUAUGGACAACUCCACUGGAUUGUUUUGCCGACUUGAUAAAAUGAAGUCUCCUGCUCUUCCCCACUUGCUUCUUCUCAUCUAGUGUCCUGUCACAUGCUGACAGGUGAGACAUGGUCUUCUCACUGUAACAUAGUAGUUGAGAAUGUGACUCUGGAGCCAGCCUUCUGGGGCGUGAAUUCUGACUCAGCCACUUACUGUGUGUCCUUGGGAUGCCAGCCAAACAUCUUCUGAGAGUGAGGGGCAGAGAAGAAGCAAGAGCUGAGGUGGGUGAGGCACAAAGAGAAGGGGCCUGUGAGGACAAGGCGACGACAGCAGCAUCAUAACCGUGACAUCUAGAAGGGAUCCCAGAUGGGACUGUGUGAACCCCCAGCCUGGGGACCUCCCUGCGGAAGGCCCCCUUCUCAAGCCAAGGGACCCAGAAGUGUAAAGUUUACCGCGGCUGCCUGUGUUGGAGGUGUCACAGUGCUGAGGGAGCCAGGAGGAGUGCAAGAGCAGG